rnacentral:rRNA from 1 species
GACGAACGCUGGCGGCGUGCCUAAUACAUGCAAGUAGAACGCCGUUGCGAACGGGUGAGUAACGCGUCGGUAACUGCCUCAUAGCGGGGGAUAACUAUUGGAAACGAUAGCCAAUACCGCAUACUGUGAGAUGGACCUGCGUUGUAUUAGCUAGUUGGUGAGGUAAAGGCUCACCAAGGCGACGAUACAUAACCGACCUGAGAGGGAUAACCGCCAAACUGGGACUGAGGAACCGCCCAGACUCCUACGGGAGGCAGUCAGAGGGAAAUUUCGCAAAUGGGCGGCAGUCUGAACGAGGAACGGCGCGUGAGUGAAGGAGGUUUUCGGAUCGUAAAGCUCUGUUUUUAGAGAAGCGGUAACUGACCAGAAAGGGACGGCUAACUACGUGCCAGCAGCCGCGGUAAUAC